GGGUGCAGCCUACAACACAAGCGAUCUAGAUCCCGUGAACCAGGACGUAGGCAAGAUCUGAAAUGACGUCAUCAUCAUCAUCCUGUGCCUAAAAGCAAAUUCAAAGCGCUCGCAAAUGUAGACUUUAAGACAGGCCUGAUUCCAUCUUAGGAUACGUUACUUCACUUCGGAUAAUUCAAAAUAACACUAUAAUGCACUAAUCAGAUUAGACGAAGUAAAAAUAUUUUGAAAUAUGUCAUUUGCCUCUGGAAGGCAAACCUAUAAUAUUUCAACCUUACAUUUCAACAUUAUUCUUCCCUUUUCAAAAGGAACAUUAAACAUGCAGACAAUACCACCAUAAUACGAAUAACGUUAUUUUUAGGCAAUCCUAUUCUGAAUGUUCUACACUGCAAUCUUAUGUUCUCAGCCUCCAAAGGGAUAAAUGAAAAGAAACUAUUAUCACCUUUUUUAUAUAGGUAUAGUCUCAGGCAUCAAAAUACAUCGUCUAUCAUUCAAUAUAAAAAAAAUCAUAGGAACAAAAACUCUCGAGUUCUCAAACACUUUUGGCUCAAGACUUUUGAGUUUUAGAAUGGUAAUAAUGCAGCACUACAGACUAUCCCCUGGGGUAUGGCAAAGUACAGUAUCAUCUAACACAUUUCUAUUUCUGCAAAGAAAUGCAGGAAUAUUCACACCAAGUGGGAUAAAUAAAGAUACCCAUUCAGGUCAAGUUUUGCCUCCAAUGAGUUAUAAAAAACACUUCAGAACUUUUAUUUUGUAAUGAUAGAUAUAGGAUUCUGGGUUUAUACUGUGCAGUCUUCUAGCUAGAAAAGAAAGCAGUUCCUACUGAAGGGCACGUUCUGUUAUGGCAGAUCACUUUAAAUCUUCAAGUUAUAUAUCCUUUUUUAUAGAGACAGGUGUGUGUGUAAGCUAAAACCUGACAAAGAUCAUCUCAGCUUUUCCUGGAAGCCCAAAAGCAUCAUUUUUGCAACCUAACAAAUCACGCUUUCAUCAGUUGUAUUAAACAAAAUCAGUAAAAUCCUAAUUAUCAGAGCCACAGAAGAGAUAAAAUUUAUUGCUACUUAAUUAGCAGCUUCUUGCUCAUUAUCUCCCUGAAACACUUCCACAUAACACAUCUUCCAGAGAACUCCUGCCAUUCAUUACCCGAUUUCCUCAGUUUCAUCUUCUCCAAAGUAAAAACCCCUACCAGGCUCCUUCAACCAUCCUUGAGACUAUUCCCUAAUUUCCCCACACUGGUCACUCGCUUGCAGAUAUGCUCAUUUGUCAGUAUUCUUCUGAAAAUGUCAUACCCCAGUCCAAAUGCUGGAUGUUAUCCAACUAGCACACAGUCUAGUUACUUUCCUGGAACUAAGCAUUAUCUUUACAUCUAAACGUCUUAAGAAUAUUAAACCUAAAUCCUAAAUCACACGAAUGCAGUUUUUAUAAAAUCAGAGAGAAAAUCAACUCACUCAAUACCGAAUUAAAAUGCAUAACCACUUUGCACACAAAAUGUAUAUAAAAGGGUCCUCAUUCUCAGUAACAGAUAUAAAUAAAAAUGAGGUAUUAAUAAUUCAAAACAGAUUAAAGAGCAAUGUCUAGAACACGCAUCACAAGGAAGGGGCCGAAGGGAAACAGAAGGGAUGUAGAUGAAACAAGAUUGUCCAGGAGCUAAAAUCACUGAGGUGAAAAAACCGGGUGAUGGGUUCAUGUUCUGAUGCUGCACAUGUUUCUGCUUUCCAAGAUAAAAAGUUACAUUAAAAAAGGAAAGAUAAAGUCGGGUGGGGGAGGGAGCCACCAGCUUGCAUAUGAGGACCUAGUGGAAGCAUAAGUUACCACUACUUCCAAGGCAGCCUGGUGAAAUGGAACAAAAUGGACAUACUCCAGGACACGGCAAUCCCACUCCAGGUAUUUACCCCAAAUAAGAUAAUUAUCAGACAAGAGGAAAAGAUAUACACUUCACCACAUUCAUCACAUCGUGAUUUAAAAAUGACCAACUACAACAUCAUCAGUAUCUACUAAGCAGAGUGUUCAGGAAAAUGACAAUCGAACAGUGUGCAUUCAUCCACUGAAAACAACAGUGCACGUCUCUUACUUUUUGAAAACCUACAGAUUACGGGGUGAAAGAUAACACAAAGCGUACCGCCUGAUCCCAAUUCCUUGGGAUAGGCAUACUUUUACACCGGUAUGUAAGCACAGAGAGACCCCUCGCAAUUAGCUGGCCAAGACGUUAACAAUGGUUCUCUCUGCAGAGGAAGAUCUCUCCUAAUGUUGACUUCUUUACUGUUUUCUACGCCCCGUAUUUGUUCAUGAACAAGUAACACUUCUACUAAUCCUAAACCACUGGAGGCGGCGGUAGGUGAGUGGGUGGGUGGGUGGAAUUCCACCUUACUGCAAUUACAAGUGAGACACUUACCAAAAUACAUCAACGCCGAAGAACAUAAUUCUUUCUUUGGUUGGCUCUUUCUCCCAAUGAGAAUGUAUGUGGGUACAACCAAGUGAGACCGUCUUUCCCAGACUUCUCAAAGGCGACCUAGUCAUAACUUCCAAAAGCCUACCAUUUUUAUUAUAACCACGAUUUAUAACAUCUUCCUGCUCAAGAAAAAUCAGUUCAACGCAAUGUCAGAGAAAUUCAAGGGGGUUAUAGCCUUUUAAAAGUGUGUAAGACAUUACUCAGAACUGGUUCUAAUAGUCAUUCUUAGAUAUAUAAAACCAUGUUAUUUAUCAGUGUAAAUAACUUUACACAAGAAGUUGAUUUUGUUGAUAGGAACUUUAAUCCCUUAAAACAGUUCUACGAUACAAAUAUUUACUUCUACGCUCCAUCUUCUAGAAUUAAAAUCAUUUUCGUCCCUGGCAACCAGGACUACCUAAGAGCUUCUUCCUAUGAUUACCACAAAGAGUUUUAAGUGUAAUGCCUCAAUUCUCAUUUUAAAACGUAUCCAUAUUUUCCUCCUUUGUAGACUAAUAUUCUUUGAAUAUUUAUGAAAACAAAAGGUAAAAUUAUGUGUCGUAUGUGUGUAGAUAGCUAUUUCUAUACACACACAAUAAUCCAUGAAGUUAGACAAAUACAUAGUAGGUUAGAGUGAUACAUAUAAAGGUCAAGAUAUUCUAUAUAAGAUUGAGGAUGCUACAAUAUAUGUAAUUAGAAAAAUAGGUUACUGAUGUUCAGAUCAUGAAUCCUCAGAUAUCACUGUUUAUGGCAUGGUCUAUUGCUUUAGGUUGUCAAAUUUCUACAUUAGAGUAUCAAACACCACCAAACUAUGGGGUAGGUAAAGAAGUUUAAAAAAAAAAGCUAUUCUUCCUAGAGGGGCUAGGAUUCUUUCAGUAAUGAGGAUGAUAAAUACAAAAACUAAUAGGUAUCCCAUUAGCCAAGUCUACCACAUUAUAUGGGGCUUAAAUAUAGCUUCCUAAAGCUUGUUCUGUUAAAAAGAAAAGUUCAACACGGAAAGCAUGCCAUAUGUUAAAACGGAAAAAUUAAGCACAGAAAAAGGACUUCCUUUCAAACACUGGACAGUUAAGAACUUUCCAACAUCUACAUCCUGAAAUCUUGCCCUUUACUUUUUUUCCUGGGCACAGGUUUAACAAAUUCUGAAAGAGAAAAAAAUGAAAAUGUCUGGUCUUUACAGUAAAAUGUAAAAACCAACCACAACUUCAAGUUGACCCCAUUAGGCUGACUUUCCUAAAAAAGUUUUCCAUUUUUUACAUAACAUCAAAAGCAAAAGCCUGAUACUGGCUUGAGUGCAAGGCCAAUUUUUAUCACUAAAAGUUAAACAAUGAAUUUCGUUUCACUGAGAAGAUCACCUUUGGUCACGAGGUCCCAUCCUCUGCAGCAAACUUCAAGAGCUUCCUCCUAACUACUCGUAUUCCAUGCUCCCAAAAGUGUAAGGAUUACCUUUUAAAUCUGCUUCUUAGGAAAAAAAAAAAAAAAAAAAAAAAGUAGCUUUUCUUUUAAAAGGAUUAAAUAGACAAAAAGUUCAAACUAACAGGCAAGCAAAACACUGCUUUCAAAGGGACCACAGUAUCGUCAGGCUUCUGGAAUAUUGGUACAUGUUCUAAUGUUUUGAUUUGAAUAUUAAAUUACGUGUGUAUGUUCCAUUUGUGGAAAUUUAUCAAGUGAUUUAUUUAUUAUUUGUGUACCUUUCUGUAUGUCUCUUUCAAUAAAAAGCUUACUAUUAAAAAAAUAUUUUGCUUAUAAUCAAAACAGUCUACUCAAAGAUUUCAAAUGCUACAAGAUGAAAAGAAUGGCAAGAAAAACAAUCAGAACCUAAAACUGAAAUCCGAGAAAGGAGAGGGACAUGAAUCAUUUCCCAAACAAUACAUACUGGAUUUCACUAUGGUGACCAACAGUCCAUUAAAUCUCAUUUCUCUCAAGCUUAUUUCCACAUUAAGAAAUACAUCACAUGAUUAAAAUGCUUGUCACAUAAGCAGUAAUAUGAGACCAAGGGGCUUGAAGAAAUGGAAACAGGUCAUAUAAAUCCUGAAGUUAAAAGGCAAGGACAGACUUAUUUUACCGACUAAAGGAGAACCUUUACCCAAUCUGUCAAAACAUCACUAAACUCUGAGCACUACAGCAGGCAGAAUUUCAAAAAUGUCCCACCCCAGACUCUGGAACCUGCGACUACCGUGACAAAAGGCACGUUUCACCCCCCAGAUAGGGCGGGGAUCCCCGUCGGCCUGAUCUGGGCACAUGAGCCCUUAGCAGCAGAGCUUCUCUGGCUGAAAGCAGCAGUCAGAAGUUUGGAGCAUCAGGAGGACGUGGUGCCAUUACUGUUUGGAGAUAGGGGCUCAUAUGAGAAGGCAGGCCUCUAGAAGCCAAGAAUGGCUCCAGUCAACACUGAAAAGGGACCUCAGUAUUACAACUGCCAACAACUGAACCUGAUCAACAGGUGAAUGAACCUGCAAGUGGGUUUUCCUCCAAAAUCUCUCUGUCAUGAGACGCCUAAAGGCUGGCCCAUGUUAACCGUAUUUUUUUCUUCCUAUCUUUUACAGCCAGCUCUGGAAAUCAAGUACAGGUGUGGUGAUAAAGGAAAUUCAUUCAUUCAACAAGUAUUUACUGGGUUCGGAUUAUGUACUGGGCACGGUGCCAGGUGGAAGGAAUGUAACAAUAAAAUAAUCCUAUCUUUUGAAGUUCUCAGACUGGUUAAAAAAAAAAAAAAAAGGACUGACAUAAUGAACUCUAACAAUGAAGGUACAGAGAUGGAGAGAUGCACAGGAUACCGGGGGAAAAAAAUCAAGACAAUUCUUUGUGCGGAGGACACAGAAAUCAGAAAGGCUACAAGGAGGCAGCGAUACCUGAGCUAGACCCAAGGAAUAAGCUCAAGUUUGCCUGGCUAAAGAUGGGGCAAGAGAGGGGGGUUAGGGGGCAGCCUUCGGGGCUAAAGGUACCUGCCAAAAAAAGGCAAGGAGGUAAAAACAAUAUAGGCUGCUGGGGAGAAGGGAGCAAAAGAGUGGAACUAAGUGGCGAUUCAGUAUUCUUAGAGUAGCAAGUGAAACGCAGGAAGAGAUUACACAGAAGAGGAAAACCAGACUCAGGUUAUCAAGAUCCCCAACUCCUCGGUAAGAUACUUCACAGGAAUUUUAGAAGCUAUGUGGAGGAUGGAUGUAUUUGACCCAGAAUUGGGCAGAAAAUUCAGCAGGAAUGAUGAGGACAGGUUUUAGAAAUAUUUAGAGAAGUACCAUCCACAGGAUUUCAAAAGUGACGAAGUGGAAAUGGCAGGGGAGCAGGAAGGGUCAAAAGGAAGAGGCAGACUCACAAAGAGUAUUAGGUUUCUAGCUGAGGUGACUCAGUGGAUGAUGGGGACAUCAAGAUAUAGAAAAUUCUACCUGAAAAAGACAAGGUUACAGAAGAACAGACUGGAAAAGCAUUUAGUUACAGCUAGAGAUCGGUGAAGAGCUUUUAAUGCUAGGCUCGACCUGGUAAACUUUGGAGAACCAAAUUAGGUUUCUACGACUAAAAACUAAUUCCUGAGGAGUUCCUGCUGUGCUUAGCAGGUUAAGAACCUGACUAGUAUCCAGAAGGUUGAAGGUUCAAUCUCUAACCUGGCUCAGUGGUUUAUGAUCCCACACUGCUGUGGCUGUGGUGUAGGCCAGCAGCUGCAGCUACGAUUCAACCCCUAGCCCAGGAACUUCCAUAUGCCAAAGGUACAGCCAUAAAGGGGUGGGGGGGGGGGUAAUCCCUAAGGUACCCUUCGAAAAAGCGGUUAGUCAUCUGAUAGCCCAGACAGUAAGUGGAGUCUACAUUCAGGUUGAGGCAGCUGGAAAAAAGAGCAUGUAUAUGAAAUACUUCCACGCAGAAACAAUGAUUUUCAUACACGAUGUGAGGAAACUUUCUCAUCUCAUUGUUUUGCAUGUAGCUGGACCAGUUUUCCCACUCUCUUUCCUCAAUUGUACGUUCUUGCCUUUGUCAUCGA
ensembl:lncRNA